CGCCGGGCAAAGCCCUACAGGUGAAUAACAAACAGGCUGCUGCUCGGGAGGGUCGGCAUCUAGAAUUGCGGGGUUCUUCGCUGGAGUCUGAUCAAUAGUCCGCCCGGGGCAGAGUUUGUACCCCCCCCCCCCCCCAAAAGAUUCGAGGAAGAUGAAGACGUUCUGCUCGGAGGAUUUUAAACCACAGAUGGAUGUCGUCAAGUCCAUUUGCAAGGAUGAUGCAUUACUUUAAAAAGAUAUAUAUCGACGGUCUGGUUUCAACAAAGCAUUGUUCUUCUGCACAGUUAAGGCUGAGUCCCGCUCGUUGAGCCUCUGAGACCCUGGAGAAGCACCGGAGAUGUUCCUCUAACGCUCUGACUAAGCCGCACGGUCAGAGGCACCACAGCAAACCCAAGGCGCCUGCAGACAACCAGAUACAUCGUAGGACGGCUGCCUUUGCCCUAAAUGGACAAUUCUUUCAUUAAAGUGGUUAAACGACACCACCCACUGCGGAGAGUGCAGCGCUGGAUUGACAGGUUGACCCGUACAAGUCGUCAUGUAACCGUUAUAGCCGGUAUAACACCUUCACGGACGC
ensembl:lncRNA